AAAGCUGCUAAUGAAGUGAGAUGGAAGCCACGUGCCUUGCCAGGAGCUUACUAACGUAAUGUGGCACCCGCCAGCCUAUUCUGCAGACAUAAUGGAAGAGAGUGUUUCCACUGCUCAUUCCACAGGCAAGCCACAGAUCCUGGCCACUCCUUGCCUUGGAGGCAGUACAGACACAUUCAUAGGGUUUGGCUCCUUUCCCUUGAGUUCUGCACCUUAAACUAAAGAAGUCAGUCACGCGAGGCUGGCUUGCUGGAACCGGCUAGAAAAUGCAGCCCUGCCUGCCGCAGGGAUCUCCUCCGGUAUGGCCACACAUAUGAGUUCUGGCAAUGCCCAUUAGUGAUAUGGCCGAUAGUUUCUUCUGUCUUGCUUCCAGGAACCUUUUCUUGGUUUGAAGCCACCGAACCAGAAGAGAGAAUUUUUACCACUUUGAGGACUUCUUGUGACGAAUCCAAUGGGAAUUCCAUAAUAUUCAGAAACAAAACAUUUUGAGGGCCAACAAAUUAUUAAGCCCUUUGCUAGGUCUUAGAGAUACAAAGAUAAAGAAGACUGGAGUUUUCUUUUUAUUAUCUACCAGACUGAAGGCCACUGCCUGGGGACUUGAUCUAAGAGAAGAAAUAUCAGGAGACCUGGGUUUGGCUCCUGGCUCUGCCAGGUGAUCAUGGAGCAGUCACGUAUUAUCCCUGAGCUUCCGUUUCCUCAUCUACUUAAUUAGUGAUGGGUCUACAGGGCCUUGCUGGGGUCCACUUCUGACAUUCUGUGUUGCAUGGACCAUGUCAGAGAAGAUGGAGACACCUUCACGGCCUGUUAGUCACAUCUCACCAAAGCUUCUCAAUGGGCUGUCAGACAAGAAAGGAGCCUCCUGUAGCCAUCUUAAUCAGCAUCCCCCAUCUGUGAGGUCAUCGGGAUAUUUCAAACAAUCUUCAGCUCUCAUUAGUUGAGUGCGUUUCACAGGCAAGUCCUUAUCUUUUGUAACUUUUGCUGCCACAUCCUGAGAAAGGCCUCUCUGCAGAAUGACACUUUCCCUAUGGGUCAGCCCGCCAUAAUGAGCCACCAACUGAGGUGCCCUUUGCACUCACUAGCUGUAUAUGUUGAUAUUAACCUUUCGUGUUGCGAGAUGUCGCUUUUACCCUUGGCUUCUGCCAUGUAAGUCUCAUUAUUUCUAAUAGGCUGUGGCAAUUAGGGUCUUGGGGCUGCUGAUCGCAGCCAUGUGGAGCGGGGAAGGGGCACUGGGGAGAGCAGUUGCUUUUUCUUUCAUGAACAAUGUGAUGCAUAGCUCAGCCCAGAUCUGCAAACAGCGAGCUGUAGUAGACCUCCGGCCGAGGAUGGGAAAUUCCACACCCAGCGCUUUCACAUGUCCUUUCUUCACGCCAACUACUGGCUAUUUGCAAAUCCCUUUUGUGUAGAAUGACAUGCUUGGCAGAUAUUUCAGCACAUUGGAUUUGGCCUAAUAAGGAAUUUAUUAAACAAGAUUAUUUGGGGAUAAAAUGGAUACAUUCAAAGACACUCUUUUUUUUUCUUUUAAAGAUAGUUGUCCGGAAAAGGAAGAGGAUGACACUGAUGACCAGCCGUCUUGGGUGGUUCACAGGCUCACUAAGGAGGCAGUGUUGAGCCUGACGGAUCUGUGAAGGCCCCUCCGACUUGUAACUGUAAAAUGAUGACUCUUGAUGGAACUCUACAGUUGUUGACACCUGGUGGGCCACCUACAGCUGAAGGUUCAAAGUGAUAAAACAAACCUGGUACGGAAAUAACUGAUUGUGGAACGCGAAGGACCUGUGAUCAUGCAAAGGUGACAGAGCAGACACUGAUAGUAGAACUGUGGAGAAGUAUCCCUGGAGAUGACCCACAAUCUCAAGAAGGCUGAAGAGGAGAGGAAGAGAAUGGAUAAAUCGAAACAAGUGUUUAGAUGAUCAAGGCCUUAUAAGCCAUAGUAAGUUUAACAGUAAAUAAUACAUAGAGGGAAAUUUCUUCCUCUGAGUCAUAUGUGUUUAUCAGUUUUCUAUAGAUGUUGAUUGCUUUUGCCAUAUAUAAAAUUUUAUGCUUUUAUGAGACUUUUCUUAAAAAUAUCUCUUGGUCG
rnacentral:lncRNA from 1 species